rnacentral:tRNA from 2 species
CGGGUGUAGUUCAAUGGUAGAAUCCCAGCCUUCCAAGCUGGUCGUGCGGGUUCGAUUCCCGUCACCC